GACGUAGGGCGCGAGCGUUGUCCGGAUUUAUUGGGCGUAAAGAGCUCGUAGGCGGCUCAUUGCGUCAACCGUGAAAACCAGCAGCUCAACUGUUGGCUUGCGGUUGAUACGGGUGGGCUGGAGUUCGGUAGGGGAGACUGGAAUUCCUGGUGUAGCGGUGAAAUGCGCAGAUAUCAGGAGGAACACCGGUGGCGAAGGCGGGUCUCUGGGCCGAUACUGACGCUGAGGAGCGAGAGCGUGGGGAGCGAACAGG
rnacentral:rRNA from 1 species